ensembl:lncRNA
CUCAACAACAUAGGUCAGACAUGUCCUGCAGCAGGUGAUCACUCACUACAGUGAUCAGACAUUUCCUGCAGCAGGUGAUCACUCACUACAGUGAUCAAACAUGUCCUGCAGCAGGUGAUCACUCACUACAGUGAUCAGACAGUUUAGCUUCAUAGAGGAAUGUAUAAUUGUAGUAAUUUUUACAGGUCCCAACACCUACAGUCUAAAGUGCUUUCUAGCUAAUGUACUGUUAGCAUAACAGGUCCCAACACAUACAGUCUAAAGUGCUUUCUAGCUAAUGUUCUGUUAGCAUAACAGGUCCCAACACGUACAGUCUAAAGUGGUUCUGCUACAGAGUAGUCAAACAACAUUAUCUGACAGUAGCUAAUGUUCUGUUAGCAUAACAGGUUCUGAUACGGAGUAGUCAAAACAACAUUAUCUGACAGUAGCUAAUGUUCUGUUAGCAUAACAGGUUCUGAUACGGAGUAGUCAAAACAACAUUAUCUGACAGUAGCUAAUGUUCUGUUAGCAUAACAGGUCCCAACACGUACAGUCUAAAGUGCUCUCUAGCUAAUGUUCUGUUAGCAUAACAGGUCCCAACACGUACAGUCUAAAGUGCUUUCUAGCUAAUGUUCUGUUAGCAUAACAGGUCCCAACAUGUACAGUCUAAAGUGCUUCUGCUACAGAGUAGUCAAACAACAUUAUCUGACAGUAGCUAAUGUUCUGUUAGCAUAACAGGUUCUGAUACGGAGUAGUCAAAACAACAUUAUCUGACAGUAGCUAAUGUUCUGUUAGCAUAACAGGUUCUGAUACGGAGUAGUCAAAACAACAUUAUCUGACAGUAGCUAAUGUUCUGUUAGCAUAACAGGUUCUGAUACGGAGUAGUCAAAACAACAUUAUCUGACAGUAGCUAAUGUACUGUUAGCAUAACAGGUCCCAACACGUACAGUCUAAAGUGCUUUCUAGCUAAUGUUCUGUUAGCAUAACAGGUUCUGCUACAGAGUAGACAAACAACAUUAUCUGACAGUAGCUAGGUCACAUGACAUGGGUCAGGUAAGAAACGAUAGACAUGUAGAACUACAGUAGGGUUUGGUAGUACUGUACCAAUGACUGGACCCAGUAUGGUAGAUAGGACUGGACCCAGUAUGGUAGAUAGGACUGGACCCGGUACACUCUGACUGGACCCAGUAGAUAGGACUGGGCCCAGUAUGGUAGAAGGGACUGGACCCAGUAUGGUAGAAGGGACUGGACCCAGUAUGGUAGAAGGGACUGGACCCAGUACGGUAGAUAGGACUGGGCCCAGUACGGUAGAUAGGACUGGGCCCAGUACGGUAGAUAGGACUGG